GUGCUCGCUUUGGCAGCACAUAUACUAAAAUUGGAACGAUACAGAGAAUAUUAGCAUGGCCCCUGCGCAAGGUUGACACGCAAAAAAAAAUAAUAAUUAAAAAAAUAU